UUAAGCUGUAUUUCAGUAUACUUAGCAAAAGUAUACUAAGUUUCAAAUACUUAAAGUGGUAUUUUAGUGUACUUCUGAAAAGUACACUUUGUUUCAAGUCCUUUGUAAUACACUAUUAAAAUGCUUUUUUAGAGUGUAAUUUAAUUUCACUUCAUUAGAAGUGUAUUUAAGUGUACUUCCAUGAAGUGCACUUUAAUGCAAAUACUUUUUAAGCUGUAUUUCAGUGUACUUAGAAAAAGUAUACUAAGUUGCACAUACUUAAAGUGGUACUUUAGUGUACUUCUGAAAAGUACACUUCAUUUCAAGUCCUUUGUAAUACACUAUUAAAAUGCUUUAUCAAAGUAUACUUAAAUUUCCCUUUAUUAGUAGUGUAUUUAAGUAUACUUCCUUACAGUUCACUUUAAUGCAAGUUAAUUUUAAGCUGUAUUUCAGUGCACUUAGAAAAAGUAUACUAAAUUGCAAAAACUUAUAGUUGUCAUUCAGUGUGAUUCUGAAAAGUACACUUAGUAAUACACUAUUAACAUGCUUCAUUUUUAGUAUACUUUAAUUUCACUUCAUUAGAAGUUUAUUUAAGUAUAUUCAUACAUCAUCACAACCAAAGUGUUGAAUUAAUCAAAAAAAUACAGAUAAAUAAUACUGAAAUGGCUACUUUUACUAGCUCCAACGACUAACUAUUAAAGAAAAUCCAAGGCUAUAACCAAAAUUUGAAAAUAGCAAGUUUAUAACGGCCAUCCAAUCAGUGUGCGGCUGCAAAUCGACGUCCAAUGAGAAUGUAGUAUUUAGGUCGCCAAUUGGUGGUUUAGUCAAAUACACUUGGCGCGGACGGUUAGUGUUCCAUUUGAAAUUGAGCAGUGAGCACCUAAUAUCUCCGGGUCAAACAAUGACAGUGUUUGGUUUGUUUUAUUUCCAAGACGGCUCCGUUAGAGCAGAUAAUACAUCCGUCAUACGUGAUGCAUACAGAAAUAAAAAAAUAACGGUUAACUGCAGGGAAGACCUCGAGUCGGAGCAGGGCUGGAUAGAGGUAAUUUGGCCUACACAACGGCGACAACAAGAGGCGAAGCCUAUUGCAGCCAAAUUGCUUUUCUUUGGAGACACGGUGAGGGAGAAAUUCCCCAACACCAUGGUUAGUGAGAUCCGGGCCCUGCUGCGGAGGAAAUGCAAUAAUGAGGGCUACACCAAGGUUGCUCCUCAGUAGCUUUAUUAUAUAUGUUAUAUAUGUCAGAUGUUUUAAAGUUAGGUGUUAUUGAAUGUAUGUUUGUAUUAAUAUUUAAAUUAAAGUUUUGGUUUGUACAAUUUAAGUGUUUUUUGUCAUG